AGGUUUCCGUAGGUGAACCUGCGGAAGGAUCAUUUACUGAGUGAGGGUCCCUCGGGGCCCAACCUCCCACCCGUGUAUACCGUACCUUGUUGCUUCGGCGAGCCCGCCCCCUUUUUCUUAGGGGGGCACAGCGCUCGCCGGAGACACCAACGUGAACACUGUCUGAAGUUUUGUCGUCUGAGUCGAUUGUAUCGCAAUCAGUUAAAACUUUCAACAAUGGAUCUCUUGGUUCCGGCAUCGAUGAAGAACGCAGCGAAAUGCGAUAAUUAAUGUGAAUUGCAGAAUUCAGUGAAUCAUCGAGUCUUUGAACGCACAUUGCACCCCCUGGUAUUCCGGGGGGUAUGCCUGUCCGAGCGUCAUUGCUGCCCUCAAGCACGGCUUGUGUGUUGGGUCGUCGUCCCCCCCGGGGGACGGGCCCGAAAGGCAGCGGCGGCACCGCGUCCGGUCCUCGAGCGUAUGGGGCUUUGUCACACCGCUCUUGUAGGCCCGGCCGGCUGCUGGCCGACGCUGAAAAGCAACCAACUAUUUCUCCAGGUUGACCUCGGAUCAGGUAGGGAUACCCGCUGAACUUAAGCAUAUCA
rnacentral:misc_RNA from 1 species